rnacentral:rRNA from 1 species
CCUGAGAAACCCAAAAGAUCGAAUGGGGAGAUUCAUCGUCAGCUCAUUUUAUAUAUAUGCUAGUUAUGAUAUGGGUUACUACUUGUAGUAUUGCCUGUACAUUCUUGUAUAUUUAAAUGUAAGAUGUUGUCGGCGUGCACUUCUCCCCUAGUAGGACGUCGCGACCCGUUGAGUUGUUGGUCUACGGCCCAAGUGGAAGCUUUUAGUGAAUUUUAUUCAUUGAAAACUCUUGGUGUUACCUGACUGGCGCUCGUCGGUAUUCGUAUGGUAUUGAGCCGCAUAUUAUAUGCGUCUAUAUCUGUCGCAAGCGAGGUUAGUUACUGAUAGUGCGGACCUAGUGCCGUCGUUGGUGCUAACCAGCUGUUGGUUGUACAGAAUUCUAGGACUGGCUCGUUGAAAUACCGGUCAGCGAUGCUACUGCUUUGGG